UCUGGUUGAUCCUGCCAGUAGUCAUAUGCUUGCGUCAAAGAUUAAGCCAUGCAUGCCUAAGUACAGGUAGCACAAACCGAAACUGCGGAUGGCUCAUUAUAACAGUUAUUAUUGAAAUAGUGGAUAAAAGAGGAAAGGAGCUAGAAUCCUGAAUCAAACACACAUGGAUAACCCUGCUAAUCGUAGAGCUAAUACAAGAAAGCGAGUACAACUCGAGGGAUGAGGGCGAGGCCCGAGCUGGCAUGACUGGGGGAGCAAAAAGCCCAAACUUCGGCCACCCAAGCCCAGCCCUGAUGUAAUGAGAAAGAUCAGGGCGGGGCUGGAUCACUCUAGCAUGAUAACCAGGUGUAAGGACUCGUCCAAGCCCAAAGAGUCGCGUUUGUCAGCAAAGCGAAAACCAAGGGGAACUCUGUUUUGUUGGGGGUCAAACUUCAACGGGAUGGGGGUCCAGAAGAGGAGACGAAGACAUGCAUUUGCUCGGGGGGUGGAAGUAAAACGACACCAGAGAGCCAUGAGGAUAAAAACGGACAGCUGGAUGAGGGGACCUCUGGGGGAAGAUACACCUAAAAACAAAAAGCCAGUUGCAUUGCAAGCCUUUGGGUCAAACUGAAGGGUAGCAAGCAGAAUGACUAACGCCCACGUGGCCCCACAGCUGGGAACAAUAUAGAUGUCUCCAAGUGAAAUAGGACAAAAGAGCAAAUUGCAAGAGAGUGGGGUAACACUCACUCAAGCAAUGCACUAGAGAAAUUUCUGACCUAUCAACUAGAUGGUAGGAUCGGGGCCUACCAUGGUGUCAACGGGUAACGAGGAAUUAGGGUUCGAUUUCGGAGAGGUGGCCUGGGAAACGGCGACCACUUCCAAGGAAGGCAGCAGGCGCGUAAAUUAUCGACUGAUGAUACAUCGAGAUAGUGACGACAAAUACCAAUGCCCUACCUCCCUUUACCGGGAGGGGGCAAUUGGAAUGGGCACAAUGUAAAGAGGUGUGCGAGUAACGAUUGGAGGGAAAGUCUGGUGCCAGCAGCCGCGGUAAUUCCAGCUCCAAGAGUGUAUACUAAAGUUGUUGCGGUUAAAAGCUCGUAGUCAAUGUUGGGGACUUUCUCAAAAGGACGCAAGUUCAAAUGGGAUCAGACUUUUAAAGUUUGAGAUGGAUUAUAAAGAGGAGUUGAGAUUUCUUUUUUGGAUUUAAAUGGAGUCAAAUCUAUUUGGAUUAAAGAAGGGGGUUUUAAUUCUUUGUUUAAUCCAUUGGGUCUCAAUUGUAUUUGGAUUAGUUAUUACACUUCUUAAAUGAAGGCUGUAAUUACAAACUCGGUGCCUUGUUUGUUUGAGUUAAUAGCUCGAAUCAAGGGGAUAACUGGGGAAACUACCAAAUCGAUUACUUUGAAUAAAAUAAAAUGUUCAAAGCAGGUCAGUGAUGACCGGAAUAACUUAACAUAGGAUAAUAAGAAAACAAAGCAAGAGCAGGGUUGUGGGACAAAGAACAGAGUAGCAGAGCCCGAGUUUACUGAUUGGUUUCUCGUGGGAUGCUUUCAAGUUUGAUGACAACAAAGGCCAGGAAAAUGAGAAAAAUGAUACAACCUGGUCCAAGGAUCCUUGGAAGAACAGAAGUGUAAGAUCACGAAGUGCUACUUUGGAACCACACUCAAACUCUUCGAUAAACAAGUGUAUAAUAGGAACAGUCGGGGUGGUUUAUAUUUAAUAGCGAGAGGUGAAAUUCUAUGACCUAUUCAAGAUAAACUAAAGCGAAAGCAUUCCACAAGGAUGUUUUCAUUGAUCAAGAACGAAAGUUAGGGGAUCGAAGACGAUCAGAUACCGUCGUAGUCCUGACUAUAAACGAUGCCGACCAGGGAUUGAAGAUAGUCGUAAAGAAGGUGUUCUUAUAAACAUUGGUUAACUCCAUAUUAUUGGGGCAUCUUUCAAAACAACUAGAUUGGACUGCUUCAGCACCUCAGAGAGAAAUCAAAGAGUGUUUGGGCUUCGGGGGAAGUAUGGUCGCAAGGCUGAAACUUAAAGGAAUUGACGGAAGGGCACUACCAGGAGUGGAGCCUGCGGCUCAAUUUGACUCAACACGGGGAAACUUACCAGGUCCAGACAGUAGGAGGAUAGACAGAUUGAGAGCUCUUUCUUGAUUUGCUGGGUGGUGGUGCAUGGCCGUUCUUAGUUGGUGGUGUGAAUUGUCUGGUCAAUUCCGAUAACGAACGAGACCUUAACUUAAUAAAUAAGUUUAAUUAAAGUUGGGUUAUCAUGGUAGCAAUAUCAUGGUGAUUCAUUUAAUCAAAAGAAAUUUAGUUUGAUGCAAAAAUCAGAUUAAAUGUAAACUUCUUAAAGGGACUAUUUGCGUCUAUAAACCAGCGAAUGGAAGUUUGAGGCAAUAACAGGUCUGUGAUGCCCUUUGAUGUCCUGGGCUGCACGCGCGCUACAAUGAUUGAAACAAAGAGUUUUUAAUGGGUUUUCCUGAUUGGGGGGUUCAGUCAAAUGGAUUCCCUGAUGAGGAAGCCUAUUCCAAAGUCGAAAGACUUGAAGGGAACCUUUAGAAAGUCAAUCAUGAUUGGGAUAGAUCAUUGCAAUUAUUGGUCUUGAACGAGGAAUUCCUCGUAAGUAUGAGUCAACAGCUCAUGCUGAAUACGUCCCUGCCCUUUGUCCACACCGCCCGUCGCUCUUACCGAUUGGAUGAUCCGGUGAAAAUUCUGGAUGCUGCCUGGAUGUCAAAGUCUGGGUGCAGAAACUAUUCGAACCUUAUUAUCUAGAGGAAGGAGAAGUCGUAACAAGGUAUCCGUAGGUGAACCUGCAGAAGGAUCAAAUCGA
rnacentral:rRNA from 1 species